rnacentral:miRNA from 1 species
GUUCUGGGCAUAUAGCACUGAGUCAGACUGAGGCUUUGCCCUCAAGGAGCUUACAGUCUAAUGGGGAGACAGACA